rnacentral:rRNA from 1 species
ACGUAGGUGGCAAGCGUUAUCCGGAUUUACUGGGCGUAAAGGGAGCGUAGGCGGAUAUUUAAGUGGGAUGUGAAAUACCCGAGCUUAACUUGGGAGCUGCAUUCCAAACUGGAUAUCUAGAGUGCAGGAGAGGAGAAUGGAAUUCCUAGUGUAGCGGUGAAAUGCGUAGAGAUUAGGAAGAACACCAGUGGCGAAGGCGAUUCUCUGGACUGUAACUGACGCUGAGGCUCGAAAGCGUGGGGAGCAAACAG